UACAAAUAUUUAAAUAUCGCAUUAUUCUACUUCAUUAAGUAUUUACCAUCAUCGAUCAAGAUAAGUAAUGUUAUUCAUACAUCUAAAUUUGACAUCAAUACUUACAUUAUAUAUAUUAUUCACCAUAUAAAUACGAUGAACAGUAUAUUUUUUAAAAUAAAAAAAAUUAUUUUAAAAAAUAUUAUUUUAAAAAAUAUUUUUUUUUUAUAAAUUUAUUUUAUAAUACAAAUAUAAAAUUGUGUCAUUAACCUUUU
rnacentral:lncRNA from 1 species